rnacentral:rRNA from 1 species
GUCUACGGCCAUACCACCCUGAACGCGCCGGUCUGAUCUCGGAAGCUAAGCAGGGUCGGGCCUGGUUAGUACUUGGAUGGGAAAAUGGUAUAAAUUACUAAAACUAGGCAUAAUAUACC